rnacentral:precursor_RNA from 1 species
AAACUUAUCUAUUGCAAGCUGAUUUUCCCUUCUGGCAAGGCUCAUUCCAUGUCUAAGACAACUCCUUGGAACAUACAUCUGCCUCUUUGCCCCCCUGUAAAUGUUGUUGCAAAGUGCCAGAUGUGUGUGCCAAGAAGUUGUCUUAGGCAUGUUAUGAGCCUUUCCACAAGAAAUUACAUGGAUUAGCCCAAGUAAUAGGUAUGGAAUUUUAUAUUCAUUCCU